GACGAACGCUGGCGGCGUGCUUAACACAUGCAAGUCGAACGGUGAAGCGCCUUCCUUUUUGGUGGGUGUAGAUGAGUGGCGAACGGGUGAGUAACACGUGAGUAACCUGCCCCAUUCUUCUGGAUAACCGCAUGAAAGUGUGGCUAAUACGGGAUAUUCUGGGUCUGUCGCAUGAUGGGUCUGGGAAAGAUAUUGUUUCGGUGGGGGAUGGGCUCGCGGCCUAUCAGCUUGUUGGUGGGGUGAUGGCCUACCAAGGCGGUGACGGGUAGCCGGCCUGAGAGGGUGGACGGUCACACUGGGACUGAGACACGGCCCAGACUCCUACGGGAGGCAGCAGUGGGGAAUAUUGCACAAUGGGCGCAAGCCUGAUGCAGCGACGCCGCGUGAGGGAUGGAGGCCUUCGGGUUGUGAACCUCUUUCGCCAGUGGAGCAGGCCUGCCUCGUUUGUGGGUGGGUUGACGGUAGCUGGAUAAGAAGCGCCGGCUAACUACGUG
rnacentral:rRNA from 1 species